ensembl:lncRNA
CUGCAAUCUAAUUUGGAAAAUCAGCUCUCUAGCUCCUGAUUAAAAACUGUGGCUGACAACUCUACAAAAACCAGCCAUGCUUUAAACAGGAGACCUGGCAUCUGAAAGAUAUUAUCCAUCAGUCUGUCCUUAAUACCACAUCAACAUCUUUGGGAGAAGCAAGACCAAACACAGGGCGAUGUACUUGAAGCUCAAAUUCGUCAAUUAUCUGUAACUGCCUGAGUGAUUUUGGGCAAGCCUCUGCACUCCUGCCACUGUUUUCUUGUCAGUCAAAUAUGGUUUUCCUGCUGAGUGCUGUGAAGUCUGCCUUUUCUCAGGCACUCCAAUGUUUCCAAUCUGUUUACCAGUUUCUCCCUGUUUUUCCAGAACUGUUGCUUGACCUGUUACCAUGUUUGACAAGGAUAUCAGACAGCCAUGGGAUAAGUGCCUUCCCCUCCUAGAUCUCCUAAAGGAGCCUAAAACACAGGCAGAAGACUUCCCAAGUACCUUUGAAAUUCCAAAAUGUGGUUUGCUUCUUCUGCUUUAAAUGUUUGCCUGAGGAUGAGAUGGAUUGUGUUCCUUGCUGCUGGUGGUGAAGGGAAGUGACAGAGAAAGUUCAGAUAAGCCCACCCCAUCUCUCAUCUGGGUACUUGGAGAAUGGACACAGCUGGAAAUGGUAGAAGGACAUUUCUGAAUCCCCUAUCAUUACCUCCUGCCCUUGAUUUAGAAAAACUGUGCAGAAGUGGAGAAAAGGAGAGUCAGUUUCUCUAACCAUGUCUCAAUGUGAUCUCUGAGAAGCAGCUGUGAGAACAUCUGGCAGCACGAGGUGCCCCUCGCUGCCCAAGGCUUUGCAAAAAGCUCCUUGGCGCGGUGGGGAUUGAUCUCAUGGUCUGCUCUCCUCAUGGGGUGCCCAUUGUUUACACCCAGGCAGCACUGGCCAUCUCUCAAACACUGUGCAGACGAUUUCUCCUUCUUUCUUUCAGUUCUUGCCUUUUCUCUUGUGAGAAGAAUCAAAAAGCAGAAAUGGGUGAUAGUUCUUGUGAGGAGGACACACAAUCACCAAGAUCCCGACUGAAACAUGCAAUUACUUCCCAGACUGGUCAAGAGUAGAAGAAAAGCACUGCCAUUUCUUUUCCUGGACACUGGAAAAAGCUCUGUGUACCUCUGCACUUCAGUGCAAAGCACAAAUUCAGGCAUUUAUGGCUUAAUUGCAUGAUGUUGGCUGAUUCCUCAAUGAAUCAAUGAAUCGAUGACUCUCCAUUUGUUGGAAGCAGUGUUGUCUUUACCUCUCCAUUUCUCUGGCUGUAGCUGUGGCUGACCUUUUAUUUAGAUUUUUGUCACCCCAUGAUAAUCCUCAGAUUUGGUCAUGGAAUUGUCUCAAUUCAGUAAAUUGGGGAAAACUGAAAUGAUGGAUAAGCUACUGAAAAGUGUAUGUACAAGAAACACAUUUCUGAUUUCAGCUGUUUUGAACAUGUCUUUUGUCAGCAAAAAUGAAAUGACACUUCUAUGACUGAUUACAAUAAUUAGUGAUAAUUUAACAACAAUUUUUUGCAACUCCAUAAAAAUUGGAAGUAGAAAUACAUUUUGUUAUAUCUGAUUUUCGAAAUAAAUGUGCAUUUUAGGGAAGAACA